GACGAACGCUGGCGGCGUGCCUAACACAUGCAAGUCGAGCGGAGUCGAUCGACGGAAGCCUUCGGGCGGAAGAUGGUUGACUUAGCGGCGGAUGGGUGAGUAACGCGUGGGCAACCUGCCUCGAAGACCGGGAUAACAGCCCGAAAGGGCUGCUAAUACCGGAUGUGGUCAAGGAUCCGCAUGGAUUUUUGAUUAAAGGGGAAACCCGUUUCGAGAUGGGCCCGCGUCCUAUCAGCUAGUUGGUGAGGUAAAAGCUCACCAAGGCGACGACGGGUAGCCGGCCUGAGAGGGUGACCGGCCACACUGGAACUGAGACACGGUCCAGACUCCUACGGGGGCAGCAGUGGGGAAUCUUCCACAAUGGGCGAAAGCCUGAUGGAGCGACGCCGCGUGAGCGAAGAAGGCCUCGGGUUGUAAGACUCUGUCUGGAGGGACGAAGGAAGUGACGGUACCUCCGGAGGAAGCCACGGCUAACUACGUAGCCAGCAGCCGCGGUAAAGUACUCUAU
rnacentral:rRNA from 1 species